AUUGAACGCUGGCGGAAUGCUUUACACAUGCAAGUCGAACGGUAGAGGGGGCAACCCCUUGAGAGUGGCGAACGGGUGAGUAAUAUAUCGGAACGUGCCCAGUCGUGGGGAUAACGUAGCGAAAGUUACGCUAAUACCGCAUACGAUCUACGGAUGAAAGCGGGGGACUCGCAAGAGCCUCGCGCGAUUGGAGCGGCCGAUAUCAGAUUAGGUAGUUGGUGGGGUAAAGGCUCACCAAGGCGACGAUCUGUAGCUGGUCUGAGAGGACGACCAGCCACACUGGGACUGAGACACGGCCCAGACUCCUACGGGAGGCAGCAGUGGGGAAUUUUUGGACAAUGGGCGCAAGCCUGAUCCAGCAAUGCCGCGUGCAGGAUG
rnacentral:rRNA from 1 species